GGGCCGCUCGGCCGGCGAGCGGCUGGCCGGGCUGCCGUCCCGGCGUCGGCCGACCGCGGCGUUCUGCGCCAACGACCUGC
rnacentral:tRNA from 1 species